ACUUGAGACCUAUUAAAUCUAGAUCUAGACGACUUAGACUUAACUUAAGUGAUUAACAUUCAUGCGUUAUGACUAGAUUUACUGAUUUACUAUUUAGAAUAGAUUCUAGAUCUAGAUUCUAGAAUCUACCAUGAAAUGGCUAAUGCAUCUGCAGCAUAGAAUUAGAUUUAGUUAAGGACUUACUAGAUCUUAAAUCUAAAUCUACUACCUUUUAACUUUUAGGGCAGAAUAUUAGAUCUAGUCUAUAUGCCUAUCUAGUCACGUAACUGUAAACUAAUACUUAGACUUAGGACUUUGGACACUUUGAGUUGAAGAUAUCUACUUGGUAGUCUAAACCUCAAAGGAGCUUAGGGAAGUGAUGGCAGUUGCAGGGUAUGAACCAGACGACCAUGCAGAGACCAACGAGGCGACCAAACAGUCCAUCGUGCAUACCACAUAACCAGGUCCAGAAUGCCAGUUUUCUUUAAGGGCAGCUGACAAUAAGAAUUGUCUAUGUAUGCACUACAGAUGCUGUUCAAUAUCUUUUCAUGAGGAAGCCUGCUCAAAAAGAUCGCCACAUUUUCUUUAGGGGAAGUUGACAUUAAUCUUUUAGGUUAAUAAUAACCUAUGCAUGCAGUACAGAUGCUGUUCAUCAUCUUUUCAUAAGCAAGCCUGCUCAAGAAGGUAAGAAUUAAAUUUUGCUUUUAGAUUACUGAUCAGCAAUCUGAAAGUAAAUUGUUAAUGGGAUGGAAUUUAUUAAAUGUAAAUAAAGAAAUGCUAUCCUAAUUUUGAAAUAUGCUGGUUGUGGGUUUUUUUUAAGUUUCACUGUGAUAAUUGUUUAUUUUAAUUCUAGAAUAACUUUUCAGCCAACUUAUUUUUAAAAUUACCAUAAAACUCUAAUUACAACAGAAUAUAGUUGUAUUAGUAAGAGCCUGUGAUAAAGUUAAUAUAAAUAAAUUGGACAAAAUAUAAUAUUGAAUGAACUGAAGCCUAGCUCGAUCUAGUCUGCCAUUGCACUUUUAGCAUAGUCAAAUACCAGUGCCACAUUUGCUGACACCAAUUCAUAACAUUUAAUUUAAGGAGAAGAUUGAACUCCAAAUUUUGAAAUACCAUUAAUUUUUGCGUUGCUUAAUAGGCUUUAGAAGCAACCUAAUUUUUGAGCACCGUUUAUCAUCAAGGGCUGGAAAUAUAACCGUUAAAUAGUAUGUCCACAUAGAUAAAUGUAAUAGAUAAAUGUAAGGUCUUCUGAUGUUUAAUUGUUAGAUUCUUUUUAUUAUUAAUACAGCUUGAAGGUAGUUGUAUUACAUGACUAUAAUAUUUAUUUGUUUGUUUGUUUGUUCCAGCUGCUUCAUGGAAGUCAAAAUAUGAAUUAUUGCCAUCCAGUCUUGAAGUCAGCUUGUAAAGAAUGCUAAGAAUUGAAUGAAAAUGCUGUCUUGAUAUCUUGUUUGUGCUGUUAUAUUUGUCUUUUGUGUUGGUUAAUUAUUCCAUGAAUAAAAAAUAAAAAAAAGUUAA